AGGCCUGUGUUUGGAACAGGAAGGAAUUCCUCGUAGACGGAAUGGUUGUGAGCGGGACAGAAACUCCACCACAAGGGUUCUGGGGGUACUACAGGGACUAAAGGAAGCAGUGUGAUCAGUGUGAAAGCAGCAAGGCCAUGAUUUACUUCUAAAGGAAGCAGUGUGAUCAGUGUGAAAGCAGCAAGGCCGUGAUUUAUUUCUAAAGGAAGCAAUGUGAUCAGUGUGAAAGCAGCAAGGCCGUGAUUUAUUUCUAAAGGAAGCAGUGUGAUCAGUGUGAAAGCAGCAAGGCCAUGAUUUAUUUCUUGGGCGUGUGGUUUUCUCCCGAGGCCUCUGCUUGGUUAUUUGACCCAGCAUCGGUGCCAAAGGAGAUUUCCCCAAAGGGAAAAGUACUGCAGUGCUCGACGUAUUAUAGUCCUUUCCCGUUUGCAAGCUCUCCCACACAUUCCUUCUUCUGUUCCCAAAUCACAGGAGACGACGAGAAAGAGAACAGACCACCUGUCCAGAUAAUUUGCCUUUGGAGUCUGCAGGGCUGGUGAAGGCAUCCUGAGAUGGGGGAGGCCCCUGGGGACCUCCACAGUCAGGGCUCCCACCUCCUCUCCCACACCGCUCUGCCUCAUGCCCUGGGUUGCCUGUCUGACUGUCUCAAGACUGGGGGUUCUCCGGUGAGCAGAUGGCUGCUUAGCGUCUAUGCCGUGUGCCUGGCUUUUUCCAACCACUCCGAAUUGAUCAUUUCCUAAUGACCACAUGGCUCAGAAACUCACAGCACAUCCUUCUAGGGGCCUCUUUCUCCCAAGUCCUCCCAGGGACUUGGCAGCUUCAUCUCUAAGGCCUGCAGAGGCUGUGGCUAUGGCUGUCCAUUGUUCUCGCUCCUUGGCUUCAGUUCAGAGCCAUCAAAUCCCUGCAGCUCGCACACUGGAACAUUCAUAUUUUGGAUAAGAGCUUUCCAAGGUGAAAGUGUUGGUCACUCUUUCUUCAUCUCAGAUUUAAUCAACUAAGAAGGCUGCAAAUUGAACAUCAGUCCACAAAACUCAGGAGUACAUGAAAAGCAUUGUGCCUUAUUUUUAACUAACUCAAAUUCUAUGUCAGUCUCCCUUUUAUGCUGGAUGUUGGGGCUAAAUCUCAGUGGGUUCCUUAUUCUGCCAGACCUGUGUCCAGUUUGGGGGCUUCACGUAGAGCCACCCCAUCACAGGAGAGGGAAGCGUCUUGCUCUUGGUUGCCAUUGCUCCACCGUCUUGUCUUCCGAGCUUUGAUGUUCACCUUCCUUUUCACCACUCGGAAGCUUCCUGCCAUGAUACAUUGAGACCUCAAUGUUAAUGCUAAUUGGGGUUUGGGGUUCUCAUAAACUCAGAAGUCCAGGAAAAUCGCCUGCUGCCUCCCACAACACGCUGAGGCCAUUCUGGAAUCCUACCACUUACCCGGAGCCUGCUGGCCUCAACUGUUUUGAAGUCUGUGUCUGGGCCAUGCAGGUAAAUGGGAAGAUGCUCUGUGGCCAUAAAAAUACCCGAAGUCCCACCUAAAGUUGAUGCAGGGUCUUCUGCAUUUCAUUGCUAAAAUUGUUCUAUGAUUUCUAUAGUUUUCAGCCUACAGUCAGGGGCCAGGACUUUGCACCCUGGGUAAACCUCAAUCUCUUCUCCUUCCUGGAUUCUACUCCUUUCUCCCUCAAUCCCAAAUCAAGGCCCCUUGAUUGUCUGGAGGUAGGAAAGCCUGGUUCUGGCUCAUGAUAUAGUCUACAUCAUAGCCUUUGACAUCUCAUGGAUUCACUCAACAACCGUGUAUGGAUGGGGCCACCCAAUAUGUGCCAGGAGUUGAGGACACGCAGGGUUAUGAUGAUGAAAUAGAUAAGGGGCCCACAUUCACGGACCCUGCAGGACAGUGGAGCUGUGGACCCAGCAUGCGAGUAAAGACCCGGUGAGCUCACCAGACAGAUCAUUUAAAUCAGGUGAUAGGACAGAGAAGAGCGGGGGCUGCAUUAGUUUUGGUGGCAAGAAAAGGAUUAUCUUCUGAGAGGAUCCACAAAGUAAAGAGGGCCGGUAUGACUGGGUAGAGUGAGGACCGUGGUUGAGGCAGAAGAUGGAGCUCUUUAUUGAGCUCUAGGGAGCCCGUCGGAUGGGACCUACGGGGCUUGAGGGAGCCCAUAGGAUGGGACCUACGGGGCUUGAGGGAGCCUAUCGGAUGGGACCUACGGGGCUUGAGGGAUCCCAUAGGAAGGGACCUACGGGGCUUGGCGGACUUAAUUUUAAAUGUGGAAGAAGCCAUUGCAGAGCCUGAACCUGAGGUGUGGCAUGGUUUGAGUUACUUCAAACCAAAUUUAUUGAAAUCUCUUUGCAUAAAAUGCAAUGCGUAGAUCUUAAGAGUAUAGUUCAAUGAGAUUUGAUAAAUGUAUGCACCAGUGUAACAACUCCUCCAGUCAAGAUAAAGAAACGUCCCUCACUAUUUCCUCAUGCCCCUUCAUAGUCAAUAUCUGAUCCACUCAGCCUAGGCAACCAUUGAUCUGCUUUUAUCACCAUAGAUAUUUGGGUAUGAGUCUUUGUAUGAUCAGCUAUUUUUAUGUUGCUUGGGUAAAUAUUUAGGAAUAGAACUGCUGAGGCCAAGGAUAGAAUAUUUAACUUGAUUGCCGACUGUUUUUCUCAAGUGGUUGUACCACGUUCUGCCUCCACCAGCAUGUGUGAGUUUCCAGGGCUUCUUGUCCUUGCCAGAUACCGGGUGGUUGCAUGCCGUGUCCCAGGGGCUGUUGGGAAUCACAGUAGCUGGGCCCAAGAUGACUCUGAAGGACUUUACAUUUGCCCCCAUCUGUGGGUCCUCCUAUGCCAGUGUUUCCCAAAGCAUGGGCCAUGCGCAUUAUUCUUUCCAAAAUGAUGUCAUGUGGUGCAUAGGAAUGUCAUGGAAUACAAUGGAAUCACUCUGGAAGGAACUUUUCCCUUCUCAGGUGUUGUUUGAAUGUUCCUGAUGUGAUCGAGGAGAUUAACUGCUACUUAACAUCUCUGCACCGCUUGCUAAACUCCUUGUUAAAAUUAUGCUUUUUAUUUUGAAGGAGUUCUAGAUUCACAUGCGUUGUAAGAAAUAACAGAGAGAUUGCAUGUACUCUUCACCCAGUUUCUCCCAAUGGUAACAUCUUGCGAAACUAUGGUGCAAAAUCAAAACCAAAUCUCUUUUUAUAACAAAGAGAGGGUUCCCACCUCAAGCUCAGAUCCUUCCCUGUGUAGCUAGAACUUAGUAACAGUGUUUUAUUAUAUUCAGUUUCAAGGGUUACAUUCUAUUUAUAACAAAUGAUACUAGUUUUCCCUUUACAAUAAUGAUAAAAUUUUAUUACUGAGUAAAUUGAUUUAUGUUUAAAAAUUGAGUUAUUUU